UGCACUUUCAAGAGGAAUAUCAUUAUCCACAACAAAAGUUCUGGUCAUGACAAAACAACCAAAGCGUCAGAAGGGAACAUACACAAAGAACAUCGUCUAUCAAGAAGUCUUAGGUAAAAAAUAUCAUAAUACAUAGUUCUAUACUAUAAGUAUAUAAUUAUUUUGUCUAACUAACAUAACUAAAUUGAACGUUUUUGCAGGUUUAGAUGAUGUGGUCCAAUCAGUUUGAAUUCAUAACUUAUGCUAAUGUAAUGAUAUUUUCCGGCAUUGAAUGAUUGUUGGAUUCUAUAUAAUUCUCUCAUUAAUUAAAUUGCAUGCUCCUUUAUAUACAUAAUUGCCUAAAACAUUACGUGCUAUUAUCAGCACGUUCAUAGAAACUAGUUAUUAUAAAAAUGAGAAGCCCUAAACUAGAAAGUUAAAGGGAAAUUUACCUAUCUAUACCGUAAUAGAAACUUAUUUAUCACUCUUCUUUAGGUUCUUUAAAAAUUACAUUCUCUAUCUAUAUUUACUACUUAUAUACAAAACCUUAAUAAAGACAGCAUCCCUUGAAAUUAGGAUGUAACUGGUGUAGCCUUCCCCCUCCCCCCACCUCGAGAUAUAUGUAUAUCAAUUACACAAAGCCACAAAUAUCACGUUUUCAUCCCAUUUUCAAAAAAAAUUCAAAAUAUUUAUUUCUCUUUCAUAUAAUUCCGUUCAAAUCUCUCACUCUUCACACAAAUCCAAUCAACAUUAUCUCUAAUUUGCAGCAGCAAAAGAUUCUCUCCAUUAAAAACUAUUAAAAAGUUUCGAUAUUUGAGUUUUACGAAUUUUUGAUUUGUUUGGAUUAGGUGUUCUUGCAAACGAAUGAGAAUAUACUUUGGAGUUUAUAUCUUAAUUUUGAAGGAGAUUGGUUAAGUUUAGAGUUAAUUUUAGGUAAAAUUUCUUUUUGAAGAAGAAGAAGAAGAAGAAGAAGAAGAAGAAGUUUCAGAAGACCACGAUUGUAUGAUAAUUGUAUCAGAAUUGUAUCAGAAUUCUUUCAGGGCUGUAUUGGAAUUGUAUUAUAAUUAUAUUUGAUGCAUCAAUACAUGUAAUGAUACCUUAUACAAUAUUGAUAAAAG
rnacentral:lncRNA from 1 species